ACCUGAGAGAUUGGCAGGAUCUGAAGAAGGCGGACAGUGAAAGCUGCAGACAGACGAGACGCACGGAACGGGCGAAGGAGGGGGAAGCGGCGAACAGAUGAGCGAGAGAAGAGCACCGACUGCAGGACCGACGCCAGACCCAGUGGACGGAGAAACUAGGGGGCUAAUUGACGGCAGGUUCCAUGAAGACGCGUUCUGCCGUGAAGCCGUGCCGGCAGAGGACGAUGGUGCAGAGCCAGGAGCCAGAGACCCGGACCGAACAAAGGACAUGUGGCGCCCCUACCUUCAGUGACAGAGCCACCCCGCUGGUGUAUUGGACAUGUGUUGCCGCUUCGCCCCUCAGAUAAGACUCCGAACUGUUUUUAUUGGACUUUUAAAGCAGUUUUUACUAGCUCCCAGGUCUUAUCAAUUCUUUUUAUGGACUUUUUACCUGUUGUUUUUACUCUGAUAUUAUUCAGUGAAUAAAUAUCAGUGUGCACCUUG